rnacentral:rRNA from 1 species
AGUCACUGACAUUAGAUACCCGGUAGUCCAGGGUGUAAACGCUGCAGACUUGGUGUUGGAAGUCCUUUGGGGGCAUUCAGUGCCGGAGAGAAGUUGUUAAGUCUGCUACUUGGGGAGUACGUCCGCAAGGAUGAAACUUAAAGGAAUUGGCGGGGGAGCACCGCAACGGGAGGAGCGUGCGGUUUAAUUGGAUUCAACGCCGAAAAACUCACCAGCAGCGACUGUUACAUGAAAGUCAGGUUGAUGACCUUACUAGAUUUUCAG